rnacentral:rRNA from 1 species
GACGAACGCUGGCGGCGUGCUUAACACAUGCAAGUCGAACGGAAAGGCCCUGCUUUUGUGGGGUGCUCGAGUGGCGAACGGGUGAGUAACACGUGAGUAACCUGCCCUUGACUUUGGGAUAACUUCAGGAAACUGGGGCUAAUACCGGAUAGGAGCUCCUGCUGCAUGGUGGGGGUUGGAAAGUUUCGGCGGUUGGGGAUGGACUCGCGGCUUAUCAGCUUGUUGGUGGGGUAGUGGCUUACCAAGGCUUUGACGGGUAGCCGGCCUGAGAGGGUGACCGGCCACAUUGGGACUGAGAUACGGCCCAGACUCCUACGGGAGGCAGCAGUGGGGAAUAUUGCACAAUGGGCGGGAGCCUGAUGCAGCAACGCCGCGUGCGGGAUGACGGCCUUCGGGUUGUAAACCGCUUUCGCCUGUGACGAAGCGUGAGUGACGGUAAUGGGUAAAGAAGCACCGGCUAACUACGUGCCAGCAGCCGCGGUGAUACGUAGGGUGCGAGCGUUGUCCGGAUUUAUUGGGCGUAAGGGCUCGUAGGUGGUUGAUCGCGUCGGAAGUGUAAUCUUGGGGCUUAACCCUGAGCGUGCUUUCGAUACGGGUUGACUUGAGGAAGGUAGGGGAGAAUGGAAUUCCUGGUGGAGCGGUGGAAUGCGCAGAUAUCAGGAGGAACACCAGUGGCGAAGGCGGUUCUCUGGGCCUUUCCUGACGCUGAGGAGCGAAAGCGUGGGGAGCGAACAGGCUUAGAUACCCUGGUAGUCCACGCUGUAAACGGUGGGUACUAGGUGUGGGGUCCAUUCCACGGGUUCCGUGCCGUAGCUAACGCUUUAAGUACCCCGCCUGGGGAGUACGGCCGCAAGGCUAAAACUCAAAGGAAUUGACGGGGCCCCGCACAAGCGGCGGAGCAUGCGGAUUAAUUCGAUGCAACGCGUAGAACCUUACCUGGGUUUGACAUGGAUCGGGAGUGCUCAGAGAUGGGUGUGCCUCUUUUGGGGUCGGUUCACAGGUGGUGCAUGGCUGUCGUCAGCUCGUGUCGUGAGAUGUUGGGUUAAGUCCCGCAACGAGCGCAACCCUUGUUCACUGUUGCCAGCACGUUAUGGUGGGGACUCAGUGGAGACCGCCGGGGUCAACUCGGAGGAAGGUGGGGAUGACGUCAAGUCAUCAUGCCCCUUAUGUCCAGGGCUUCACGCAUGCUACAAUGGCUGGUACAGAGAGUGGCGAGCCUGUGAGGGUGAGCGAAUCUCGGAAAGCCGGUCUCAGUUCGGAUUGGGGUCUGCAACUCGACCUCAUGAAGUCGGAGUCGCUAGUAAUCGCAGAUCAGCAACGCUGCGGUGAAUACGUUCCCGGG